rnacentral:tRNA from 1 species
CAAAAUGUAGCUUAAUAAAAGCAUUUAGCUUACACCUAAAA